UAAGGCAUUUACAACCUAAUUAGUAACCAUUAAUAAACUAAUUGUAAACCAUUUAUAAACCCUUUAUAAAGGUAGUCUUAUUUUAAUGUGGUACCGGUUUAUGAGUUUGUGGGGUUGGGAGUUUGGAGGUUUGGGAGUUUAGAGGUUUGGGAGUUUAGAGGUUUGGGAGUUUGGAGGUUUGGGAGUUUUAGAGGUUUGGGAGUUUUAGAGGUUUGGGAGUUUGGAGGUUUGGGAGUUUAGAGGUUUGGGAGUUUUAGAGGUUUGGGAGUUUGGAGGUUUGGGAGUUUUAGAGGUUUGGGAGUUUGGAGGUUUGGGAGUUUGGAGGUUUGGGAGUUUGGAGGUUUGGGAGUUUUAGAGGUUUGGGAGUUUGGAGGUUUGGGAGUUUGGAGGUUUGGGAGUUUGGAGGUUUGGGAGUUUGGAGGUUUGGGAGUUUUAGAGGUUUGGGAGUUUGGAGGUUUGGGAGUUUAGAGGUUUGGGAGUUUUAGAGGUUUGGGAGUUUGGAGGUUUGGGAGUUUUAGAGGUUUGGGAGUUUUAGAGGUUUGGGAGUUUGGAGGUUUGGGAGUUUGGAGGUUUGGGAGUUUGGAGGUUUGGGAGUUUAGAGGUUUGGGAGUUUUAGAGGUUUGGGAGUUUGGAGGUUUGGGAGUUUGGAGGUUUGGGAGUUUUAGAGGUUUGGGAGUUUGGAGGUUUGGGAGUUUAGAGGUUUGGGAGUUUUAGAGGUUUGGGAGUUUUAGAGGUUUGGGAGUUUUAGAGGUUUGGGAGUUUAGAGGUUUGGGAGUUUUAGAGGUUUGGGAGUUUUAGAGGUUUGGGAGUUUUAGAGGUUUGGGAGUUUGGAGGUUUGGGAGUUUGGGAGAUUGUUUUGAGGAUUGGUGCUGCAGGAGUUCAUGAUGUCACUGGGAAGUCUUGUUCCACUGAUCUGUAUGAGACCAACA